rnacentral:rRNA from 1 species
AACGAACGCUGGCGGCAUGCCUAACACAUGCAAGUCGAACGAGAAGGUUCGGGGUCUAUGGGCGCACGGGUGCGCAACGGGGGGGAAACUGCGCGUAGGUUCGGAAUAACAGUUAGAAAUAACUGCUAAUAACGGAGGAUGACAUUAAAUACAACGUUUUAUCGCCUGAGGAUGACUGCACGUCGGAUUAGCUAGUUGGUGUGGUAAAGGCUCACCAAGGCGACGGUGCGUUGCUGGUCUGAUAGGCUGCCCAGCCACACUUGGACUGAGACACGGCCCAGACUCCUACGCGAGGCAGCAGUGGAUAAUAUUGGGCACUGGGCGCAAGUCUGAUCCAGCCGUGCCGCGUGAGUGAUGCAGGCGUUAGGGUUGUAAAGUUCUUUUUCCCGGGAUGUUAAUGACAGUACCGGGAGAAUAAGCACCGGCUAACUCCGUG